UAAGGAAUCUUCCGCAAUGGACGCAAGUCUGACGGAGCGACGCCGCGUGCGCGACGAAGCCCUUCGGGGUGUAAAGCGCUUUUCCCAGGGACGACCAAGCGACGGUACCUGGGGAAGAAGCCUCGGCUAACUACGUGCCAGCAGCCGCGGUAAUACGUAGGAGGCGAGCGUUGUCCGGAAUCACUGGGCGUAAAGCGCGUGUAGGCGGUGGGAGUAGUCUGCUGUGAAAGCGCCUGGCUCAACCGGGCGAGGUCGGCGGAAACUCUCUCACUGGAGGCCGGUAGAGGGGGGUGGAAUUCCCGGUGUAGUGGUGAAAUGCGUAGAGAUCGGGAGGAACACCUGUGGCGAAGGCGGCCCCCUGGGCCGGGCCUGACGCUGAGACGCGAAGGCGUGGGGAGCGAACGGGAUUAGAUACCCCGGUAGUCC
rnacentral:rRNA from 1 species